rnacentral:lncRNA from 1 species
AUGUGGAUGAAAAAGAAACACGUGGCAGUUACACAAAGUGCUGUCACUAUAGCCUUACUUCCGUUAUUGCAAGUCGAGAAACCAAACCUUGAAGAGCUGUGUCUAGGGUCACACAGCCAGGAAUUUGUCGGCUUGAGGGCAGGGCUAGGCAUUGAGGGACAGUGGGACUUGGAUGAGCAGACGCAGCGGGGAGAGAGCUCCCGGGCUAGACAAGGAGAAGAUGGUACAGAAUUGCCUGCAGGGGACCGUGGAUAUUCUAAGUGUGCCUCUGUCCUAUCUGUGUGCACAGGAAGAAUCAAAAUGAAUAUGCGAGAGUACAUUUUACUCUAAGCGAAUUACAUCUGCAGACGCCUGACUUUCAAGAUGAAUGCAUGAAGGCAUGAUUGACUCUGUGAGGGUUAGACUGGAUUCCUCUCUAACAUGCGGUGCAUUAUCUAUUUGGAAAAUUUGUAGAGUCGGAACAUAAAUUCAACCACAUUCUCAUUCCAUUUUUAAACAAAUCCUAGUGGUAUAACUCUUAAGCACUUGAGUUUCUCCAGAACAAGAGCAAAAUAAUGCUUUCCAAGACAAAACUGGUGAAUUAGUUAAAGCAGUGAAGAGACCAAAGCUCUUGAAGUAUCAUCCAAAUUCAUACUCCUUGAAGCAAAACAUCUUAAUGACACUGUGGCCAAGACCAUUAGAAGACUGGCCUUAAGUUAAAAAAUACGCCCGGGCAGAAAUCAGAAUGAGGCUUUGGCAAGAAUCCCUCAUCCAGCGACACUUUGGAUUUCUCACGCGUGGUCCUGCCCCACGGAGGGAAGUUGCUGUUGCUUUUUCGUUGAAGGGCUCUUGAUACCCCGAGUAUGAGUCAGCUCUGAGCCUUUUGCGGGACACACAUGGGGGGAAAGUGCAGUGUUCUAUUUAAUCGCGUAAGUCCCCGCCGUGGGGGAAGACGUCUUCCAUGCAGCUAAGGGUGAUUUUGUGAUUCACAUGCCGGCUGCCACCGGUGGCUGGAAUCAGGAAUGAUGGCUCUGCUCUGCAGAGACGAGAGCUCGCCCCCAGGGCUGGUUCAUACGCUGCUUGAAUCAAAGGGAACCGACGCAAAGCAGUCCCAGGAGCAGGACGGACAGGGCUCCGGGAAGGCAGUGGCAGGCUUACCUGCCAAGGUUGUGUGGCAACGUAGCCCUGGUGCCGUACCACCCGUUCCUGAGUCAGAGCUGAAGGAAAUGGAGACAACUCCAAGUCCUAGCAAACCACAGCUAAUGAGUAUAUGUCUUUUCUGGUUUUUUUGUUAAUUAGCAGGGCAGUUCGCAUUCUGCUUUUUGGCACUAGAAUAUGCUGGCUCUGGACGGGGAAAUGCGCUUUCCCACUUUUUUUUUCAAAUAAAGGAUGAGGAAAAAAACCCA